AUACAUGCAAGUCGUACGCUUCUUUUUCCACCGGAGCUUGCUCCACCGGAAAAAGAAGAGUGGCGAACGGGUGAGUAACACGUGGGUAACCUGCCCAUCAGAAGGGGAUAACACUUGGAAACAGGUGCUAAUACCGUAUAACAAUCGAAACCGCAUGGUUUUGAUUUGAAAGGCGCUUUCGGGUGUCGCUGAUGGAUGGACCCGCGGUGCAUUAGCUAGUUGGUGAGGUAACGGCUCACCAAGGCCACGAUGCAUAGCCGACCUGAGAGGGUGAUCGGCCACAUUGGGACUGAGACACGGCCCAAACUCCUACGGGAGGCAGCAGUAGGGAAUCUUCGGCAAUGGACGAAAGUCUGACCGAGCAACGCCGCGUGAGUGAAGAAGGUUUUCGGAUCGUAAAACUCUGUUGUUAGAGAAGAACAAGGAUGAGAGUAACUGUUCAUCCCUUGACGGUAUCUAACCAGAAAGCCACGGCUAACUACGUGCCAGCAGCCGCGGUAAUACGUAGGUGGCAAGCGUUGUCCGGAUUUAUUGGGCGUAAAGCGAGCGCAGGCGGUUUCUUAAGUCUGAUGUGAAAGCCCCCGGCUCAACCGGGGAGGGUCAUUGGAAACUGGGAGACUUGAGUGCAGAAGAGGAGAGUGGAAUUCCAUGUGUAGCGGUGAAAUGCGUAGAUAUAUGGAGGAACACCAGUGGCGAAGGCGGCUCUCUGGUCUGUAACUGACGCUGAGGCUCGAAAGCGUGGGGAGCAAACAGGAUUAGAUACCCUGGUAGUCCACGCCGUAAACGAUGAGUGCUAAGUGUUGGAGGGUUUCCGCCCUUCAGUGCUGCAGCUAACGCAUUAAGCACUCCGCCUGGGGAGUACGACCGCAAGGUUGAAACUCAAAGGAAUUGACGGGGGCCCGCACAAGCGGUGGAGCAUGUGGUUUAAUUCGAAGCAACGCGAAGAACCUUACCAGGUCUUGACAUCCUUUGACCACUCUAGAGAUAGAGCUUCCCCUUCGGGGGCAAAGUGACAGGUGGUGCAUGGUUGUCGUCAGCUCGUGUCGUGAGAUGUUGGGUUAAGUCCCGCAACGAGCGCAACCCUUAUUGUUAGUUGCCAUCAUUCAGUUGGGCACUCUAGCAAGACUGCCGGUGACAAACCGGAGGAAGGUGGGGAUGACGUCAAAUCAUCAUGCCCCUUAUGACCUGGGCUACACACGUGCUACAAUGGGAAGUACAACGAGUCGCGAAGUCGCGAGGCUAAGCUAAUCUCUUAAAGCUUCUCUCAGUUCGGAUUGUAGGCUGCAACUCGCCUACAUGAAGCCGGAAUCGCUAGUAAUCGCGGAUCAGCACGCCGCGGUGAAUACGUUCCCGGGCCUUGUACACACCGCCCGUCACACCACGAGAGUUUGUAACACCCGAAGUCGGUGAGGUAACCUUUUGGAGCCAGCC
rnacentral:rRNA from 1 species